AAAGAAAAGUAAAGGACUAAAUUGUAAGGUUUAGUCACAUUUUGUAUCAAGUACUUAUCUAGUCACUCGGGGAUCGAAGGAAAUGUCGGAGGCCGAUCACACUAUCAAAGAAAUAACUCGGUAUAACUAGACGUUUUGUUUUGGGUAUGGCAUGUAUAGAAACUUAGCUACUUUUGGUAUAAUAUGAAUAAUGAAUGAUGUGUAAA